AUCAUAGGGUUUCUGAAAGUGCUGCUCCCUACUCUGAAUUUUAACCAAAUGUUCACUAUCAACUUUUUCAAACUGCCUAAGAAGUAUUGCUGUGUGAUGAUAAAUCAAUUUUAGAGGGCUUACUGAAAUGACAAGAAGAUCCUAGAAUCGUGGCUGAAUAACUAAAGAGCUCUUAUUUAGGAAGAAUAUUCUUAUACAAAAUCAUCCCAAGAAGGAUGAAAGAAUCACCAAAGUACAAGCAUCUGUGAGGUGACACAAAGCCACAACUGUCAACGACUUAGUUCAUUUCUUCCCAGCUUCAAGGAUGACUGUUAGGUAUGAAGUAAAUAUGAAGCUGAGAAACUGUGGUCACCUGGAACCUGCGGGCCUGGAGGAUGGAACUACAUUCCCCCCACAUUGCAAAAAUGACAAAUCUGAGGGAGCUUGAAACAUGGUUCCAGCCAGUAGUUUUGAGAAUGCAAAUACGCACUUUAAGGGGAAACCAAAUUCAAUGCAUUGUACCCCUUAGUGUAGAAAUAUGUCUUAUCUGUCUUUUGAAUGGGUCAGAAACUGAUAAACAGUGCAUAAAGAAA